CUCGGCCUUUUGGCUAAGAUCAAGUGUAG
rnacentral:piRNA from 3 species